rfam:Triticum aestivum genome assembly, contig: Triticum_aestivum_CS42_TGACv1_scaffold_133860_2BL
CACAUACUCCCUUCGUCCGAAAUUACUUGUCUCCAAAAUAAAUAACAAUGGGUGUAUCUAGAACUAAAAAAUGUCUAGAUACAUUCAUUUCCAUUACAAGUAAUUUCGGACGGAGGGAGUAUAAG